rnacentral:rRNA from 1 species
GGUUCACUGCGCGAUCGGAUUAUUGGGCGUAAGAGCUCGUAGGCGGUUUGUCGCGUCUGCUGUGAAAGACCGGGGCUCAACUCCGGUUCUGCAGUGGGUACGGGCAGACUAGAGUGCAGUAGGGGAGACUGGAAUUCCUGGUGUAGCGGUGAAAUGCGCAGAUAUCAGGAGGAACACCGAUGGCGAAGGCAGGUCUCUGGGCUGUAACUGACGCUGAGGAGCGAAAGCAUGGGGAGCGAACAGGAUUAGAUACCCUGGUAGUCCAUGCCGUAAACGUUGGGCACUAGGUGUGGGGGACAUUCCACGUUUUCCGCGCCGUAGCUAACGCAUUAAGUGCCCCGCCUGGGGAGUACGGCCGCAAGGCUAAAACUCAAAGGAAUUGACGGGGGCCCGCACAAGCGGCGGAGCAUGCGGAUUAAUUCGAUGCAACGCGAAGAACCUUACCAAGGCUUGACAUGAACCGGUAAUACCUGGAAACAGGUGCCCCGCUUGCGGUCGGUUUACAGGUGGUGCAUGGUUGUCGUCAGCUCGUGUCGUGAGAUGUUGGGUUAAGUCCCGCAACGAGCGCAACCCUCGUUCUAUGUUGCCAGCGCGUUAUGGCGGGGACUCAUAGGAGACUGCCGGGGUCAACUCGGAGGAAGGUGGGGACGACGUCAAAUCAUCAUGCCCCUUAUGUCUUGGGCUUCACGCAUGCUACAAUGGCCGGUACAAAGGGUUGCGAUACUGUGAGGUGGAGCUAAUCCCAAAAAGCCGGUCUCAGUUCGGAUUGGGGUCUGCAACUCGACCCCAUGAAGUCGGAGUCGCUAGUAAUCGCAGAUCAGCAACGCUGCGGUGAAUACGUUCCCGGGCCUUGUACACACCGCCCGUCAAGUCACGAAAGUUGGUAACACCCGAAGCCGGUGGCCUAACCCUUGUGGGGGGAGCCGUCGAAGGUGGGACCGGCGAUUGGGACUAAGUCGUACCACAAGGUUAACUAA